AAACCAAACAAACGAAGCAAAUCACCCAAACACAACCUGACAAACCCCGCACCGAACUUUCCACAUUUCUCAGAUCUGCUCAAACCAAAGGUGGGCCUGUCAGGGGGUUGGAGGGCUGCCAGAUUGAAGCGAGCUGACAGGCUGGUGCUUUUUGCAGGCGACCUCCAUAAAUAAGAGCAAAGCGCACAAUUAAGUUCAGUGGUAGUUACCGUGCCCCGGGUGCGCCAGCGCCUAUGAAUAACAGGCUUAAAGCCUGGAAGAAUAGCGCGGCCCAGGUUGGAUAAGGCAUCCUCCCGCGGCACGGUGGGGAACGCACACCGGCAGCGCUCGGCUGGCACAGCCCGGCACGGCCCAGACAAAGGCCCCGCCGCAGGCUGGAGCGCUCGGGCAGAUCCACCCCGACAAAGAUUGCUUUCUAAUGCCUGUCAGACCUUCCCCCGCUCCUGGUGGCAGAGCUGAACGCCUUCCUGCGAGCAUUCCAUGACCUAUAUAUACCCACGGGUCGUGCCUCGGCAGACUGAGUCACACUCGUGAGGGAGCCGCGCGCUAAGUCAUCCGGACACCAUUUCGCAUCGCCCCUGACAGGCCAGCUAACAGCACACACACACACACACACACACACACACCAGCCGCCAACUUGGGAGAACAAAGCCCAGCUCCGCUGAGAAAUGCAAGCUCUGAACUCAGGAGAAUUGUCUACGUUAAAUACACAGCCACAGCUUCUGUCGUGAAAAGUAAGGAAGGUGAAGAAGCAAUAAAGCAGAGAAAAGGAGUGCUACCCCUGUGGGUGAGGACUGAACAGCAUACUGACCAAAGGGGAUCAACAAGAAGAAAACCCGCAGAAGGUCAGAUGAGAGAACACCACUAAGGAAAACAAGGUCUAAAGAGGAAAAUGCCCCUCACCUCUGGAUUUUGGUCAAACCUAAAUUACUAUUGAAGCACUUCUUAAUAUACAAACCACACAGAAGGAGAGAUCAGCAUCAGAAGAAAAGGAGUCCAUUUUGAAAACUAAAAGAUCCAAAAAUGUUUAUGCCUUGAAAAGAAAAAUUAACCUUGCUGGGUACGGCAAAUACUUCUGCAUUUCCCACAUGUUUAGAUAAAUUGUAUAGCCAUAAACAGGAAAGCCAAACAAGAGGGACAUGCCUGACAGUUUCUCAAAAAACAUGGUAUUGCAGAUGACUGAGGACAAAAGACAAAACAAGAUUUCUUCUCCACUCACUCCAUUUAGUGCAGAUAACCUAGAAAUCCCACAAACAUUGUUCUCCAUGACAUACAGAAGUGUUCUG